AACGCGAAGAACCUUACCUAAGCUUGACAUCCUUUUGACCUCUCCCUAAUCGGAGAUUUCCCUUCGGGGACAGAAGUGACAGGUGGUGCAUGGUUGUCGUCAGCUCGUGUCGUGAGAUGUUGGGUUAAGUCCCGCAACGAGCGCAACCCUUGCCUUUAGUUGCCAGCAUUAAGUUGGGCACUCUAGAGGGACUGCCAGGGAUAACCUGGAGGAAGGUGGGGAUGACGUCAAAUCAUCAUGCCCCUUAUGCUUAGGGCUACACACGUGCUACAAUGGGUGGUACAGAGGGUUGCCAAACCGUGAGGUGGAGCUAAUCCCUUAAAGCCAUUCUCAGUUCGGAUUGUAGGCUGAAACUCGCCUACAUGAAGCUGGAGUUACUAGUAAUCGCAGAUCAGAAUGCUGCGGUGAAUGCGUUCCCGGGUCUUGUACACACCG
rnacentral:rRNA from 1 species